rnacentral:rRNA from 1 species
UGGCUCAGAUUGAACGCUGGCGGCAGGCCUAACACAUGCAAGUCGAGCGGAUGAGUGGAGCUUGCUCCAUGAUUCAGCGGCGGACGGGUGAGUAAUGCCUAGGAAUCUGCCUGGUAGUGGGGGACAACGUUUCGAAAGGAACGCUAAUACCGCAUACGUCCUACGGGAGAAAGUGGGGGAUCUUCGGACCUCACGCUAUCAGAUGAGCCUAGGUCGGAUUAGCUAGUUGGCGAGGUAAAGGCUCACCAAGGCGACGAUGAUUAGGGGUCCUGAGAGGGAGAUCCCCCACACUGGUACUGAGACACGGACCAGACUCCUACGGGAGGCAGCAGUGAGGAAUAUUGGGCAAUGGAGGCAACUCUGACCCAGCCAUGCCGCGUGCAGGAAGAAGGCCCUAGGGUUGUAAAGCACUUUCAAUUGGGAAGAAAAGCUGUUGCUUAAUACGUAACGGCCCUGACAUUACCUUUAGAAGAAGCACCGGCUAACUCCGUG